rnacentral:rRNA from 1 species
GACAGAGGGCGCAAACGUUGUUCGGAAUUACUGGGCGUAAAGCGCGUGUAGGCGGCUGCGUGUGUCGGGCGUGAAAUCCCAUGGCUCAACCAUGGAAGUGCACCCGAAACUGCGUAGCUAGAGUCCUGGAGAGGAAGGUGGAAUGCUUGGUGUAGAGGUGAAAUUCGUAGAUAUCAAGCGGAACACCGGUGGCGAAGGCGGCCUUCUGGACAGUGACUGACGCUGAGACGCGAAAGCGUGGGGAGCAAACAGG